rnacentral:rRNA from 1 species
UUUAUGGAGAGUUUGAUCCUGGCUCAGGAUAAACGCUGGCGGCGUGCCUAAUACAUGCAAGUCGAGCGAACGGACGAGAAGCUUGCUUCUCUGAUGUUAGCGGCGGACGGGUGAGUAACA